GCUCCGUUGGUGAACCAGCGGAGGGAUCAUUAUCGAGUUAUUCAACUCCCAAACCCUAUGUGAACUUACCACUUGUUGCUUCGGCGCGCGCUUCGGCGCCGCCGAGGACACUUAAACUCUUUGUUUUUAUAAGCAUUUCUGAGUGGCCGAAAGGCAAAAUACAAAUGAAUCAAAACUUUCAACAACGGAUCUCUUGGUUCUG
rnacentral:misc_RNA from 1 species